rnacentral:RNase_P_RNA from 1 species
UGAGUAAGCCAGAUGAUCGCAGAUACAGCUUGAAAAGGCGUAUAUGAGGAAAGUCCGGGCUCCAAAGGGCAAUGGUGCCGGGUAACUCCCGGUAAAGGCGACUUUAAGGAAAGUGCAACAGAAAUAUACCGCCAAGCUAGUUAUUUAAGUUGAGUAAAGUUUACUUUUUCAGUUUAAAUAUUUAUCUUGGUAAGGAUGGAAAGGCGAGGUAAGAGCUCACCAGCGACUUGGCGACUUGUCGGCUAUGUAAACCCCACCUGGAGCAACGCCGUGGAGGGACGCAAUGACUGCCCGUCAGUCCCGUGGAGGCGGCUUGAGUUAUACAGAAAUGUAUAGCCUAGAUAGAUGAUCAUCUAAUACAGAACCCGGCUUAUAGACUUACUCAACAU